ensembl:lncRNA
CAGAGAUCCAACAUGUUGGUUGUGGUUAACACAGUGUCAACUAAACAGAGAUACAACAUGUUGGUUGUGGUUAACACAGUGACAACUAAUUAUUGUUCUCAUUUAUUCAUUAUCUCUUUGAGAAAUAAAACAUUUACUAACAGACAUAGAAACAUUCAGGUGAUUUAAUGCAUCACAUGAACAUGUAGCUGUGACAUUUCAUCUCCAUGGUAACUGUCAAUAAUAAUAAUAAGUCACUGUUUGUUAAGGUCGUUAUAGACAGUACAGCAACAAUAAUAAUAAUAAUAAUAAUAAGUCACUGUUUGUUAAGGUAGUUAUAGACAGUACAGCAACAAUAACAAUAAUAAUAAUAAUAAUAAUAAGUCACUGUUUGUUAAGGUAGUUAUAGACAGUACAACAACAAUAAUAAUAAUAAUAAUAAUAAGUCACUGUUUGUUAAGGUAGUUAUAGACACAACAAUAAUAAUAAUAAUAAUAAUAAUAAGUCACUGUUUGUUAAGGUAGUUAUAGACAGUACAGCAACAAUAAUAAUAAUAAUAAUAAUAAUAAUAAUAAGUCACUGUUUGUUAAGGUAGUUAUAGACAGUACAGCAACACAAUUAUUUUUAUUCAUUAAAAGUAGGCUAUUUAUUGUCUUUCAAUCUGUUCUUUUCUAAAUGUUUCUGAGAAUAUAGACAGAAGUGCUAAAACGGACAUGAUUGAUCUGAGGGGGAAAUUAUUGAUCCAUUCAGAAAGGUUUUUUUGUACAAGUAAUUGAUGUUAUAUUAUGUAAAGUAGGCUAGGUUAUAAUGUAUAGUAGUGGGUUGUUAGUGAUAUGUAGA